rnacentral:rRNA from 1 species
ACGAACGCUGGCGGCGUGCUUCACACCUGCAAGUCGAACGCUGAAGCACCAGCUUGCUGGUGUGGAUUAGUGGCGAACGGGUGAGUAACACGUGAGUAACCUGCCCCUCACUCUGGGAUAAGCCUGGGAAACUGGGUCUAAUACUGGAUACGACCGAUCUCCGCCUGGAGUGUUGGUGGAAAGUUUUUGUGGUGGGGGAUGGACUCGCGGCCUAUCAGCUUGUUGGUGGGGUAGUGGCCUACCAAGGCGACGACGGGUAGCCGGCCUGAGAGGGCGACCGGCCACACUGGGACUGAGACACGGCCCAGACUCCUACGGGAGGCAGCAGUGGGGAAUAUUGCACAAUGGGCGAAAGCCUGAUGCAGCGACGCCGCGUGAGGGAUGACGGCCUUCGGGUUGUAAACCUCUUUCACCAGGGACGAAGCUAACGUGACGGUACCUGGAGAAGAAGCACCGGCUAACUACGUG